GAUGAACGCUAGCGACAGGCUUAACACAUGCAAGUCGAGGGGCAGCGAGGUGGUAGCAAUACCGCUGUCGGCGACCGGCGCACUGGUGAGUAACACGUAUGCGACCUGCCCCCUACAGGGGUAUAACCCCGUAGAAAUGCGGACUAAUCCCCCCAUAGUCCCGUUGGCUGCAUGGCCUGCGGGGGAAAGGCCAGCCGGUAGGGGAUGGGCAUGCGGCGCAUUAGCUAGUUGGCGGGGCAACGGCCCACCAAGGCGACGAUGCGUAGCCGGACUGAGAGGUUGAACGGCCACAUUGGGACUGAGACACGGCCCAGACUCCUACGGGAGGCAGCAGUGGGGAAUAUUGCACAAUGGGGGAAACCCUGAUGCAGCGACGCCGCGUGGAGG
rnacentral:rRNA from 1 species